CCACGACAUUCACGUCCACG
rnacentral:rRNA from 1 species